rnacentral:rRNA from 1 species
AGAGUUUGAUCCUGGCUCAGAUUGAACGCUGGCGGCAUGCUUUACACAUGCAAGUCGAACGGCAGCACGGGCUUCGGGAUGGCGGCGAGUGGCGAACGGGUGAGUAAUACAUCGGAACGUGCCCGAGAGUGGGGGAUAACGCAGCGAAAGCUGUGCUAAUACCGCAUACGAUCUCAGGAUGAAAGCAGGGGACCGCAAGGCCUUGCGCUCACGGAGCGGCCGAUGGCAGAUUAGGUAGUUGGUGGGAUAAAAGCUUACCAAGCCGACGAUCUGUAGCUGGUCUGAGAGGACGACCAGCCACACUGGGACUGAGACACGGCCCAGACUCCUACGGGAGGCAGCAGUGGGGAAUUUUGGACAAUGGGGGGAACCCUGAUCCAGCCAUGCCGCGUGCAGGAUGAAGGCCUUCGGGUUGUAAACUGCUUUUGUACGGAACGAAAAGGUCUUUUCUAAUAAAGAAGGCUGAUGACGGUACCGUAAGAAUAAGCACCGGCUAACUACGUGCCAGCAGCCGCGGUAAUA